rnacentral:rRNA from 1 species
GACGAACGCUGGCGGCGUGCCUAAUACAUGCAAGUCGAGCGAACAGAUAAGGAGCUUGCUCCUUUGACGUUAGCGGCGGACGGGUGAGUAACACGUGGGCAACCUGCCCUAUAGUUGGGGAUAACUCCGGGAAACCGGGGCUAAUACCGAAUAAUCCAUUUCAUCUCCUGAUGGAAUGUUGAAAGAUGGCAUCUAGCUAUCGCUAUAGGAUGGGCCCGCGGCGCAUUAGCUAGUUGGUGAGGUAACGGCUCACCAAGGCGACGAUGCGUAGCCGACCUGAGAGGGUGAUCGGCCACACUGGGACUGAGACACGGCCCAGACUCCUACGGGAGGCAGCAGUAGGGAAUCUUCCACAAUGGGCGAAAGCCUGAUGGAGCAACGCCGCGUGAGUGAAGAAGGUUUUCGGAUCGUAAAACUCUGUUGUAAGGGAAGAACAAGUACAGUAGUAACUGGCUGUACCUUGACGGUACCUUAUUAGAAAGCCACGGCUAACUAC